rnacentral:rRNA from 1 species
GACGAACGCUGGCGGCGUGCUUAACACAUGCAAGUCGAACGGAAAGGCCCUGCUCUUGUGGGGUGCUCGAGUGGCGAACGGGUGUGUAACACGUGAGUAACCUGCCCUUGACAUUGGGGUAACUUUUGGAAACUGGGGCUAUUACCGGAUAGGAUCUCCUGCUGCAUGGUGGGGGUUGGAGAGUUUCGGCGGUUGGGGAUGGACUGGCGGCAUAUGGGCUUGUUAGGGGAGUAGUGGCUGACCAAGGCUAUGACGGGUAGCCGACCUGAGAGGGGGACCGGCCACAUUGCGACUGAGGUACGGCCCAGAAUCCUACGGGCGGCAGCAGUGGGAAAUAUUGCACAAUGGGCGGAAGCCUGAGGUGGCGGCGCCGCGUGCGGAAAGCUGGCCUACGGGUUGUAAACCGCUUUGUCCGUUGACAAGGCGGGAGUGACGGUAAUGGGUAAAGAAGCACCGGCUAACUACGUG